rnacentral:lncRNA from 1 species
CACAUGGCCCCGCUCGUCGCCGGGACAGCACCCGUGCCGUGCCCGUCCCCGUGCCCGUGCCGUGCCCGUCCCCGUGCCCGUGCCGCGGUGCCGCGGGGGCUGCAGCUCCGCGCAGCAGCGAAUCCUCCCGCAGAGAAGAGAGAGUAAAAAUAGCAGCGGGUUGAGGGAAGAAGAGCUCGCCCCCCGCCAGCGGGCAGCGGCGAGGAGCCUGAGCGCACCGCGGAGCCCGCGGCGCGGCGUCACGGGGGCAGAGGGGACAAGGUGCCACGGGGACAGGACCCUCCUGGGACAGGACACCGCAGGGACAGGGCCUGGCGGGGACAAACACACCGUGGGGACGAUCGCACGGCCCAAGGCUGGCAGGACAGGGGUGGCCGCGUCCCCAGCACGACGAGGAGGAGGAGGAAGAAGAGGAGGAGGAGUGGCACCCCUGAACCCCCAACGGGGCGGGCAGAGGGCCGCAACCCCCCCAACCCCCUCCGGCCCCCGCAACCCCCGGGGCCCCCGGGGCAAAAGGCAACGCCCAAGCCGGCCGGGCCAAGCCGGCAACGCCACCCGCGGCUGGCACGGCCGCGUGGGCCGGGCAGCGACUCGGGGGCUUUGGCACAGGGCGGCCGGAGCGGAGCCAGCGG